rnacentral:rRNA from 1 species
UACGUAGGGUCCAAGCGUUGUCCGGAUUUACUGGGCGUAAAGAGCGCGUAGGCGGUCCGUUAAGUGUAGAGUGAAAGCUCCGGGCUCAACUCGGAAAUUGCUCUGCAUACUGGCGGACUCGAGGACGGAAGAGGUUUGUGGAAUUCCUGGUGUAGCGGUGAAAUGCGUAGAUAUCGGGAGGAACACCAGUGGCGAAGGCGACUACCUGGCCUGUUUCUUGACGCUGAGGCGCGAAAGCUAGGGGAGCAAACGGG